AUUGAACGCUGGCGGCAGGCCUAGCACAUGCAAGUCGAACGGUAACAGGCAGAAGCUUGCUUCUUUGCUGCCGAGUGGCGGACGGGUGAGUCAUGUCUGGGAAACUGCCUGAUGGAGGGGGAUAACUACUGGAAACGGUAGCUAAUACCGCAUAACGUCGCAAGACCAAAGAGGGGGACCUUCGGGCCUCUUGCCAUCGGAUGUGCCCAGAUGGGAUUAGCUAGUAGGUGGGGUAACGGCUCACCUAGGCGACGAUCCCUAGCUGGUCGGAGAGGAUGACCAGCCACACUGGAACUGAGACACGGUCCAGACUCCUACGGGAGGCAGCGUUGGGGAAUAUUGCACAAUGGGCGCAAGCCUGAUGCAGCCAUGCCACGUGUAUGAAGAAGGCCUUCGGGUUGUAAAGUACUUUCAGCGGGGAGGAAGGGAGUAAAGUUAAUACCUUGACUCAUUGACGUUACCCGCAGAAGAAGCACCGGCUAACUCCGUG
rnacentral:rRNA from 1 species